UCUCAACCUAGCUAAUCAUUGCAACGUUGGAUAGCGAAGUUCGAAGUUUCCUUCUGUUGAAUGUUGAGAGAAUAUCUAAUGUCUCGCUUGGCAGAGCUACGAGAGGAGAGAAUGUCCCUAAUACCAUGACCCUAAUAGAAACUGCUCAAGCUCAAAGAACAUCAAAUCCGCUGACCUUGAUGCCAGUCUGGUUCAAGGACACAAACAGCUCAGUUCGUUAGACGCUGAAUUCUCAAUACUUUCAGAGGAAAAAGAGAAACUGGAGGUUGAGAUCCAGCCUUUGAUUUCCAUCCUCCCUUCUAGGUGCAGGCUACAGAGGUGAAAUGCAUCUUGGUUAUUGUUGGUUUUCUCUGCAAAGAGGGUGGGAGAUCCUAGUCCCUCAAAGACUAGGGUCUAUCUUUCUUUCUGUCAUAUCUCGCUUAUUUCUAGUUGUUAUCCUUGGCAAGGUCAAGACAAGCAUGGCGGAGCCUACUGACUCCUUCGCGACGAAAAUGGUAGAUAUGAAGGUGGAGUUCGCAUUGGUGAAAGAUCUGAUGAUGGAGCUGAGAGAUUUGGUGUGACUGAAGUACGGUGGACAAGGUAGUUUAUGUCAAAAAGAGGUGCAGGUUGAGGUCUGUAUGGUGAGUUCUGUUGUUCCCGCAACUCUUGGUGGUGCCAUGGAGAUGGAGUAGGAGGAAGAAGAAACAAAGAAGCUUCUGAAAAAAGUAAGGGUUAGAGGUGAGAAUUGGGCCACAUCUUUUGGGCUUGUUAAGUUGAUUGCGCCAUAUGUACUGGAAAGGCUUAGAGAAAAUUCUAUUUUGGUCACCAAUUCUCUUAUUAGGCCUAAUGACUCCUUUGGGCCUGCUAAAAGAAAAGGACCUGGAGCUUUACAACCCACUUUUUUGUCACCAAACUUGACCCAUCACUUGGAGGAUAUCAAUUUGACCUUAGAACAUGCACAACAACUAGAGAUGCAAUGUGAGUUCACUGAAAAUUUUGGGCGGAUGUCAGAUCAGAAAUCUGUUGGUUGGGAAUUGGUUAUGAAGAAAGUAGGAAUUGACUUAUUGUGUUUUUCUUGUAUACAACCUUGAGGACAAGGUUGAUGUUUUCUAGAUAGGUAUUGAUAUAUAUGUUAUUACUUAUUACUUGUAUUAGUGGAUGAUAUUUUUGUCAUUUUAAUGACUUUUAGGGUUAAGUAUGAGAUCAAUCAAGAGAGGUAGCAGUCUUUUUGGUAAGAAAAAAAAUUAAGGAGAGACUACCCUCUCGAAUGGUAGAACCUGGGAGGCCGAUCAAAGUCGAAUUGAUCAUCAUUGCCAUCUCAUAUUCAUUAGGGUUGUAAUUCUCCUAUUUUUAGUGUGACUCUAUCAAUGAUAUCGGAGCCAGGUUA